rnacentral:rRNA from 1 species
UACGUAGGGCGCAAGCGUUGUCCGGAAUUACUGGGCGUAAAGGGCGCGUAGGCGGCCUUAUAAGUCAUGUGUGAAAGCUCUGGGCUCAACCCAGGAAUUGCAUGUGAUACUGUAAGGCUCGAGUUCGGUAGAGGAGGGCGGAAUUCCAGGUGUAGCGGUGAAAUGCGUAGAUAUCUGGAGGAACACCCGUGGCGAAGGCGGCUCUCUGGACCACAACUGACGCUGAUGCGCGAAAGCUAGGGGGAGCAAACAGGG